rnacentral:rRNA from 1 species
UGCAUGGCUGUCGUCAGCUCGUGUCGUGAGAUGUUGGGUUAAGUCCCGCAACGAGCGCAACCCUUGUCAUUAGUUGCUACGAAAGGGCACUCUAAUGAGACUGCCGGUGACAAACCGGAGGAAGGUGGGGAUGACGUCAAGUCCUCAUGGCCCUUAUGGGUAGGGCUUCACACGUCAUACAAUGGUACAUACAGAGGGCCGCCAACCCGCGAGGGGGAGCUAAUCCCAGAAAGUGUAUCGUAGUCCGGAUUGGAGUCUGCAACUCGACUCCAUGAAGUUGGAAUCGCUAGUAAUCGCGGAUCAGCGUGUCGCGGUGAAUACGAUCCCGGGUCUUGUACACACCGCCCGUCACACCAUGGGAGCGGGUUUUGCCAGAAGUGGGUAGCCUAACCGCAAGGAGGGCGCUCACCACGGUAGGAU